rnacentral:lncRNA from 10 species
UGUGUAACUCAUACAUCCCACAAGCAUCUACUGUGUGCAGAAUGUCUCGUAUGUGAAAGACACUGUGGGCAUAUAACUGUGGCUUAGAUGGGCUUCUAACCCCUGAGAAGAUAAUAUAUCAGCAGAAAAAAAGGAACAUGUAUAUGAACUGCCAUCACACAACCUAUCCAGAAUUCCACAAGAAAAGUAUGGUCAAAGAGCUAGGAGGUGUUGAAGGAAAGAUUACCUGCAGGAGAGGCAAUGCGAGAUGAUAGAAGAUUCUGAGCUAUAGAGCGAGGCGGACCCAGAUGGGAAUUUCAGGUUUUCUCGGGAUGUGGGACCCUAACCAAGCUUCUUAUACUUUCCAAGCAUCCAUUUUCUCAUUUUAAAAAAGAGAUAACUAUGUUGUAAGAUUGUCUUAAGAAUUAUGUGAGAUAAUAGUUCUCAAUAGUAAUACGGUGAUGGUUCCCAGCCCUGGCAGCAUGUUAAAGCCGCCCAUGUGACUUCUGAACACAGCCAUGCCCAGGUGCAUGCAGAGAUUCUAAUAUAACCGGUGUGGGGUGUGGCUCUAGAAAUGUCUUUGGCAGGCAGGUGCUGCAGGGCUGUGGAUGCCAAGGAGGCACGCGGAGUCUAUUUGCUAGGGAUGGAGAAUGAACAAUGGGGUUUCUCAUGAUUUUGGUCCGUGCCUACCGUGCAGUGCUUCAGUGUGUGCUUGUCUUGCUCCAUAACUAUUUCAGUCGUUUUUAUUAACAGAAACAUCAUCUCAGGACCAUGUCUUGGGCUUGCCUUACGUCUCCACAUAAAUAGGACAUUAUAGAUGCUUUAUCUGUGUUUUCAGUUAGCUUUUUUUUCCCCAACAGAUCCAAGUAAUAUAAGUUGAUGUGAAUAACAGAAAUCAUCUGAGGCGCUUGUUGAAAGCAUAAAUUCCCUGGCUCCUCUCCUAGAGAUUCUGUUCCUGAUUCCGAGCAUCUGGAAUAGGACUGGAGCCUUUAACGUUCAGCAAGGGCCCCAGGUGAUUCUUAUAAUCACACAAGUUUGAAAACAUGGUGCUAAGUGAUUCACUGCAGUACCGUGUUCAAUGAUCUCUCUGGUACUUUUGAUAUUUGAGACCCUAAUGAACCUAAAUAAAAAAUAAUCCGCUGACAAACA